GGAUGGAUGGGAUCAAAUCCUCUUUACACUACUCGAGUUACCAACCAAACAAACCCUGGCUACAAGGCUCUGGAAAACCCACAGAAAAAAUUGGGAUGAACGAAAAAUCGGUUACAUGUACACGGGAAAUUAAAACGAAACUCACACGGUUAUGGAACACAGAUCGUCACAGACCGUCUUCAUGUUAGGCCUCUCAUUUACAGGAAGAAUACACCUAAGAGAGAUCGCAAGCAGCUCGUCCAUCACCCUUGGAGAUUCUUCCAAGCCCGUGAUGUCUCGAUCGAAACAAUCAGUUCCCCGUCCUUCCCUGUUGCACAUUUGAACCCAGUCGGUCAGAUCAACGGCCCCAGAUUGACCCGAAAUUAUGUCCCCGGCACUCUUCCGCGUCAACAUCUCCAUAACAAUCACCCCAAACGCGUAAACGUCAGCUUUAAAUGAUGGCAUUGGCUUGGCUGUGUUUGCCAGUUCUGGGGCUCUGUACCCCAAUGCCCCUAAGUUAAGUAUUUGCUCAGCAGUGCCACUUGGAGUCAUGAACCGAUGCAGGCCAUAAUCGACUAGCUUCGGGGAGAGAUCAGGACCCGUCAAGAAUAUAUUGGUUGGCUUUAGGUUGCCAUGAGGCAGACCCUUCUCAUGGUGCAAGAACUGGAGGCAGCGUGCCAGGUCGAUGGCAAUUUUGAGCCGUUGAGAAACUGACAAGCGGGAGUAUCUUCUUGGAUUACCAUAAAGAUAAAGAGCCAAGCUGUCGCCAUUGACGUAGUCAGAAAUAAUGAGUCUUUCUUGCUCCUUAGGACCCCAGUAGAAAGCUCUCCACGAAAUUAUAUUUGGAUGCCUGAUGGUCCCAAUCCUCUUUAUCUCCUUAGUGAAGUCCUUUUUAUGCUUUACGAGGCCAACACGCAGCCACUUCACUGUCAGGACAUGGCCGCUUUGUAGUGCAGCUUUGUAUGUCGUGCCAUGACUGCUCCUUCCAAGAACCUCUGCUGGUGCUCGGGACAGGUCUUCAGCUGUGAAAACCAAAGUGCUGUCUAGGAAAAUCAAUUCUCCGACCAACCGAUCGGGUGAGUACACUUCAAAUGCCACAGGUUCC
rnacentral:sRNA from 1 species